CGUGUCAUGUGACAAUUGUUUGUAGAAAUGAGAUCAAGUCAGGUAUUGCCCUAGUAGAAGGCGGAAGGGAAAACAGUGCAUCUUGGAUAUUGUAGUUCUUGGGUGGCCGAUGCAGGCAUCACAAAUACCCUGGGCAUUGGCAACAACAAGAUACAUCAUAUCAGCAAGCUGGAGGAAAAGAAGAAAACGGUGAUAGGAAUGUGGCCAUUUAAAAGAAGCUCUUCUUGGGGCCUCCGGGUGACUCAGUUGUCAAGCAUCCAACUUCGGCUCAGGUCAUGAUCUCACA